rnacentral:rRNA from 1 species
CAUAGGUUUGGUCCCAGCCUUCCUGUCAACUCUUAAUAAACUUACACAUGCAAGCAUCUACACCCCAGUGAGAAUGCCCUCUAGGUUAUUAAAACUAAGAGAGGAGCUGGCAUCAAGCACACACCCUGUAGCUCACGACGCCUUGCUUAACCACAACUAAGUUAUAUUAAUUAGGGUUGGUAAAUCUCGUGCCAGCCACCGCGGUCAUACGAUUAACCCAAGCUAACAGGAGUACGGCGUAAAACGUGUUAAAGCACCAUACCAAAUAGGGUUAAAUUCUAACUAAGCUGUAAAACCCCCACGGGAAACAGCAGUGACAAAAAUUAAGCCAUAAACGAAAGUUUGAGCCAUGAUUAAAAUAAAAAUAAAUGACGAAAGUGACCCUACAAUAGCCGACGCACUAUAGCUAAGACCCAAACUGGGAUUAGAUACCCCACUAUGCUUAGCCCUAAACACAGAUAAUUACAUAAACAAAAUUAUUCUGCCAGAGUACUACUAGCAACAGCUUAAAACUCAAAGGACUUGGCGGUGCUUUAUAUCCUUCUAGAGGAGCCUGUUCUAUAU